rnacentral:rRNA from 1 species
GACGAACGCUGGCGGCGUGCUUAACACAUGCAAGUCGAACGGAAAGGCCCUGCUUUUGUGGGGUGCUCGAGUGGCGAACGGGUGAGUAACACGUGAGUAACCUGCCCUUGACUUUGGGAUAACUUCAGGAAACUGGGGCUAAUACCGGAUAGGAGCUCCUGCUGCAUGGUGGGGGUUGGAAAGUUUCGGCGGUUAGGGAUGGACUCGCGGCUUAUCAGCUUGUUGGUGGGGUAGUGGCUUACCAAGGCUUUGACGGGUAGCCGGCCUGAGAGGGUGACCGGCCACAUUGGGACUGAGAUACGGCCCAGACUCCUACGGGAGGCAGCAGUGGGGAAUAUUGCACAAUGGGCGGAAGCCUGAUGCAGCAACGCCGCGUGCGGGAUGACGGCCUUCGGGUUGUAAACCGCUUUCGCCUGUGACGAAGCGUGAGUGACGGUAAUGGGUAAAGAAGCACCGGCUAACUACGUGCCAGCAGCCGCGGUGAUACGUAGGGUGCGAGCGUUGUCCGGAUUUAUUGGGCGUAAAGGGCUCGUAGGUGGUUGAUCGCGUCGGAAGUGUAAUCUUGGGGCUUAACCCUGAGCGUGCUUUCGAUACGGGUUGACUUGAGGAAGGUAGGGGAGAAUGGAAUUCCUGGUGGAGCGGUGGAAUGCGCAGAUAUCAGGAGGAACACCAGUGGCGAAGGCGGUUCUCUGGGCCUUUCCUGACGCUGAGGAGCGAAAGCGUGGGGAGCGAACAGGCUUAGAUACCCUGGUAGUCCACGCUGUAAACGGUGGGUACUAGGUGUGGGGUCCAUUCCACGGGUUCCGUGCCGUAGCUAACGCUUUAAGUACCCCGCCUGGGGAGUACGGCCGCAAGGCUAAAACUCAAAGGAAUUGACGGGGCCCCGCACAAGCGGCGGAGCAUGCGGAUUAAUUCGAUGCAACGCGUAGAACCUUACCUGGGUUUGACAUGGAUCGGGAGCGCUCAGAGAUGGGUGUGCCUCUUUUGGGGUCGGUUCACAGGUGGUGCAUGGCUGUCGUCAGCUCGUGUCGUGAGAUGUUGGGUUAAGUCCCGCAACGAGCGCAACCCUUGUUCACUGUUGCCAGCACGUUAUGGUGGGGACUCAGUGGAGACCGCCGGGGUCAACUCGGAGGAAGGUGGGGAUGACGUCAAGUCAUCAUGCCCCUUAUGUCCAGGGCUUCACGCAUGCUACAAUGGCUGGUACAGAGAGUGGCGAGCCUGUGAGGGUGAGCGAAUCUCGGAAAGCCGGUCUCAGUUCGGAUUGGGGUCUGCAACUCGACCUCAUGAAGUCGGAGUCGCUAGUAAUCGCAGAUCAGCAACGCUGCGGUGAAUACGUUCCCGGG